GUCAGCAUGGUAUAGUGGUUUGAGCAUUGGACUAGGACUCUGGAAACCAGGAUUCAAAUCCCUGUUAAGCCA